rnacentral:rRNA from 1 species
GGGUCAGUAGGUUGGUCGUGCCACCGGUACGUACUGGUCUCACUGAUUCCUCCUUCCUGACGAACCGUAAUGCCAUUAAUGUGGUGUUGCGGGGAAACAGGACUGUUACUUUGAAAAAAUUAGAGUGUUUAAAGCAAGCUAACGCUUGAAUACAUUAGCAUGGAAUAAUGAAAUAGGACGAUCGAUCCUAUUUUGUUGGUUUCUAGGAUUGACGUA